rnacentral:rRNA from 1 species
GACGAACGCUGGCGGCGUGCUUAACACAUGCAAGUCGAACGGAAAGGCCCUGCUUUUGUGGGGUGCUCGAGUGGCGCACGGGCGAGUAACACGUGAGUAACCUGCCCUUGACUUUGGGAUAACUUCAGGAAAAUGGGGCUAAUACCGGAUAGGAGCUACUGCUGCAUGGUGGGGGUUGGAAAGUUUCGGCGGUUGGGGAUGGACUAGAGGGUUAUCCGCUUGUUUGUCGGGUAGUGGAUUUCAAAGGCUUUGACGGGUAGCCGGCCUGAGAGGGUGACCGGCCUCAAUGGGACUGCGAGACGGACCAGAAUCCUACCGGAGGCAGCGGUGGGGAGUAUUGCACAAUGGGGGGAAGCCUGAGGCAGCAGCGUCGCGUGCGGGAUGACGGCCUUCGGGUUGAAAACCGCUGUCGCCUGUGACGAAGCGGGAGUGACGGUAAUGAGUAAAGAAGCACCGGCUAACUACGUG